GACAGAGGAGGCAAGCGUUGUUCGGAAUCAUUGGGCUUAAAGCGCGCGUAGGCGGCCUUGUAAGUGUCUUGUGAAAUCCCACGGCUCACCCGUGGAACUGCAGAGCAAACUGCAAGACUUGCGGUCGGUAGAGGCGCCUGGAACUCUAGGUGGAGCGGUGAAAUGCGUAGAUAUCUAGGGGAACGCCGGAGGCGAAAGCGGGUCGCUUGGCCAAUUCUGACGGUGAUGGACGAAAGCAUGGGGAGCAAACAUG
rnacentral:rRNA from 1 species